CCUUACUGCUAUCGGGGUGGGACUAAGACAUGCGAGUCGAGCGUCUCUAGCUAUGCUGAGACGCGGCAGACGGCUCAGUAACACGUGGCUAACCUACCCUCAGGACGAGGAUAAACCCGGGAAACUGGGGCUAAUACUCGAUAGGUGAGAAUGUCUGGAAUGAUUUCUCAUUCAAAGGGCUUUAGAAACAUGCUUCUAAAGUCGCCUGGGGAUGGGGCCGCGUCCGAUCAGGUUGUUGGUGAGGUAACGGCUCACCAAGCCUAUAACCGGUACGGGCCGUGAGAGCGGUAGCCCGGAGAUGGGUACUGAGACAAGGACCCAGGCCCUACGGGGCGCAGCAGUCGCGAAAACUCCGCAAUGCACGAAAGUGUGACGGGGCUACCCCGAGUGCCAUCCGCUGAGGAUGGCUUUUCUUUGGUGUAACUAGCCGGGGGAAUAAGGAGAGGGCAAGACUGGUGUCAGCCGCCGCGGUAAUACCAGCUCUCCGAGUGGUAGGGAUGAUUAUUGGGCUUAAAGCGUCCGUAGCCGGCUUAGCAAGUCUCCUGUUAAAUUCAGCGACCUAAUCGUUGAGCCGCGGGAGAUACUACUAGGCUAGGAGGCGGGAGAGGUCGACGGUACUUCUGGGGUAGGGGUGAAAUCCUAUAAUCCCGGGAGGACCACCAGUGGCGAAGGCUGUUGACUAGAACGCGCUCGACGGUGAGGGACGAAAGCUGGGGGAGCGAACCGGAUUAGAUACCCGGGUAGUCCCAGCCGUAAACGAUGCGGGCUAGGUGUUGGGGUGGCUACGUGCCACUUCAGUGCCGCAGGGAAGCCAUUAAGCCCGCCGCCUGGGGAGUACGGCCGCAAGGCUGAAACUUAAAGGAAUUGGCGGGGGAGCACCACAAGGCGUGAAGCUUGCGGUUC
rnacentral:rRNA from 1 species